UGAUUCUCCUCCCUCCUAUCUCCAUUCUUCAACUCACACUCCUCUUGAUACUGAUUCACACACCUCUACCUUCAACCUCCAAUGAUUAUUACAGAGAUUGCAACAAUCUAUUUAGUUGUGGUGAUAUAAGAAACAUUGGUUUUCCUUUCUGGGGAAAAAAUCGCCCAAAUGGGUGUGGCCACCCUCUUUUGCAUCUCACCUGUGAAGAAAAUCCCAGCUACAUGAACCUCAAUGAUGUCAGGUACAAAGUUUUGGAGGCCAAACCUGAUGAAAAAAGUUUGAGAGUCACCAGAGUUGACUACUUGCAAGAACUCUGCCCUUCAAUAUUUGUCAACACAAGCCUUGACCCUAAGCUAUUUGUUUUGGAGUCUCAGUAUCAAAAUCUUACUCUCUUCUAUGACUGUGUUGUUCCAAAUGCUGUACCCUUUCCUUGUGUCCCAAAUUCGGGUUCUGGUCAACAUGUUUAUGCUCAGUUGGGGUCUUUUGAUUUUACCUCUAUGUUUUGUAAACAAAGUGUGGUUGUUCCUGUCCCUAAGGUGUUUGUUGAUAUUACUGAUGUCAACAAAACACUAAGUGCAAUCAGAAAUGGUUUUGUGGUGAAUUGGAUAGCAGGAAUUCAAGAAUGUGAAGAGUGUAGAAAAGCAGGAGGAGUGUGUGGCUAUGACUCAAUUAGACCAACCUGCUACUGCAGAGAAAGAGAUCAAACUUGUCCUGAAGAGCUUCCAUCUUCAGGUUUGUUGUCUAAAUUGAGAAUUUAUGAUCACUGCCAACUGCAUUUUUCUGUUCUCUAUAAGUAUCAAAUGGUCAUCUAAUUAUUAGGGACAUUUAAUUUAAUUUGUUUACAUUAUAAUUUACUUGGUCCUUGCUCAUAAACAGUAGCAUAUUUAGUUUCCUUAUUUCGGUGCUUAUUCAUUUGGAUUGAUGUGGAUUGUGUUUGACUUAAUACCAUCACACAAGGAAUCAACGAUGUGGCUUAUUCAACGUAUACCUUUGGAUUUGGCUAUUGGUAGCUUUGAAACUAAAGGCACUUUCUUCUCUUGUUCGAAGAGACUACCUUUACUCCAAGGGAGUUGAGCUGAGUUAAGAAAAUUAGUGUAAAUGAAAUGAAUUUAAGUUGAGAUGAAAUAGGGAGGAAAGAGAUGCAAUAGAAGAAUACUUUUCUAACAUUGCCAGAGAUAUGAUAUAAAUAGUCUUUAUAAAGGGUAGAACAAUCCUCAACUCUUGAGCUAGUUUUUUGGUCGAAUUAGGGAUCUCAAAUUCUAAUAUGGUAUUAGAGUGUAUCUUAGAACUGUUUCUUGGUGUAUAACUCUCAUAUUUGAGCCACACUGCAGAUGAUCAGUCCUACAAAUCUCACGCUUCAAAUGUUCAGCCCUUGGCGUGAGAUGGUGUGUUAGAAGUCUCAUAUUACCUAAAAAUAUGACAUAAUUAGUCUUUAUAAAAGGUAGAACAACUCUUAAACUAAUUUUUCAGGUUUAGUUAAGCUUCCCAAAUUUUAAUAAAACAUUGAAUAAUUCUAAUUCUAUUAUAGACCCUCGUUUUUUUCAUCUCCAACUUGAUAAAUGAAUUGUGCUUGGUUUAGGGGUUGAUUACUUGAUUAUUAUAUUUCCUCAAAAGUGAAAGAGUUUACAGUCAUUUGUGAAUUACCUAAAUAGUACUCUCUCCGUUUCUAAUUAUAAGACUUAAUACAAAAAUUGCACUUAUUAAGAAAACAUUAAAUGUGUCUAAUUAGUAUAUUGAUUUUUUAAAAUGCACCUAAAUAGUUGUUUUAAUGAUUAGAUACAUUCAUUAAAUGAAUGAACCUAAAAAAUGUUUUUUGCUUAUAUAUGUGACCGGAGGGUGUACAUUCUUCCAUAUUUAUCCUUUGUCAUUUUCUCUCACUAAUUAAUGGUAGGUGAUAAUUAAAACUUUGGAAUUGAAAACACACAAUUAAUGUGAUGAGUAUACAUGGAAGAGUAGAAUAUUCUUUGUUAGAUUAUUGUAAAAUGUCUUAUAUUUAGGAAUGAAAAAUCUAAAACUAUAUCUUAUAAUUAGAAACGGAGGGAAUAAAGCUUAGCGGCACGUCUUUUCCUUUUCAAAUAAUUUGUUAAACUUAAAAUUCUCAUUCUAACAUCAUCCCUGCUCCAUGUUACAUCCCAGAAGAGUAAUUUAGAUUAUCUUUUAGAUUGAUUUCUUUGUUUUCUUUUUAAUGUAAAUAUUUUAUCUUUUGUAAGAUUAAAUUCAAUAUAUAUAUAUAUAUAUAUAUUAAUUUUUUUAGAAUUUCAAAAGUGUAUCUAUUGAUGUUUUUUUAAGUAAUGUCCUUCUGGGAAUAAUAAAUGUGAAAAGAUAAAAUACAUUUAUAUUCUAAAGGGUAAAAUAUGUAAAUAAAAAAUAUUUUUAUAAAAAUUAACUGCACUCCUUAAUAUGUGUAUCUUUUCUUUCCGAACAAUUAAUUAGAAAUGGAAGAAAUAAUAAUUAGGUAAUUGUUAAUCUCACCCUCACGUCAUCUAAUUCCACCCCCCACCUUUUAAGCACUUAUAAGUGUGUGAAAAAAAUGGGGUGUAAUUAGAUGACAUGAGGGUGGGAUUAACAAUUACCUAAUAAUUAUUCUCUCCUAAUAUAAAAAAAAAUUUGGUUAAUCUUUGUUAUCGCCAUCUUUUGAAGUACUUUGUUUUUUGUUCGUGGUUGUGUAGUUUAGCGAAUGAGUCUACAUCGCUCUUGUUCAUGGGCAGUGAUCAUUGGUUCAUUAUUAGAUUGUGGCUGUUUUAGUGGCGUUGGUUCUAAUCCUUUGAUUCGCUCUUAGAGCAUUUCCAAUGCAAGGUUCUUAGUUCUUGUUUUUGAGUUAAGAACUAAGAACUAAGUUCUUAACCCCUGGAGGGGAUGAUGUGAAGUUCUUAAUUCUUAAAAAAGGUUCUUAUAUAAGAAGUUUUACUUUUUGAGUUCUUAGCAUAGAAAAUUAAUUUUUCUCUCUCACUCAUUUAAUUUAAGUAUUGAAUUAGCAUUUAAAUUUAAAUCAAAAUUAUAUGGAAAUAAAAAAUAUUAAUAUAAUGGUAUUGUGGAACUGGAUGAAUAGUGCUAAGAACUAAGAACUAGCAUUGGAGAUGCUCUUAGUUGUAGUUGUUUGGUUUAGCCAAUGAUCCCUUUUGUGGUUCAUUUGUUCUUGUUUUACGUCCUCUAGUUCGAGAGGCUCUUGAUUCAGUGAUCUUUUCCCACUUUACACCCUUGUUGAAACUUAGCACGCCUUAUUUAGUAGUUUUUGGUAGUUUCAAUAUCUAUUUUUCAUUAGGGCUUCAGUUGCUGUUAGCGUCGGCCCAUUAGUCCAAGAUCGCAUCUCAACCCGUCUUAGAAGUCAUCACUCACUUUAUCUUUCAUUCCAAUUAGAUCUUUCUUUCAUUCUUAUCUCUUUCUUCUUUUUCAUCUCAUCACUCAUUAAGUUAUAUAUAAUAUAUAUAUAUAUACAUAUAUAUUUAUUUAUUUUUUUUAUUUUAUUCCUCAAUAAGUGGGUGGAAACUGUGUUAAUAUAAGAUGAGUAUUUCGCUCAGGACUAAGUUCCUAUACUGUUGUUUCGCUCUGGUUUCCUAGAAGCAUCACAUGUUCAAUUCAGUCUACUCCAAUAAUCUAUGUGGAGUUUACUCAUUCAGUCUUCAUCAUGUCACUUUUGCCUUGCCUCACUUCUCGGCUUUUCCCCAUUUCCCAUAUAAAUGAAACUUUUGUUAUAUUCAUCUUCGGUUAUAGGGUAGAUUAAGGCCCCGUUUGGAGGAGCUUAUAUGAACUUAUCUGAUAGCAUAAGCGCUAAUGUCAGUGUUUGGGAGAGCUCAUGCAAACAGCUUAUGGUAGGCCAUAAGCUAUUUUGAGCUUAUUUUCAUAAGCUAUUCAGGAUCGCUUAUGAAAAACAGCUUAUGUUUAUGUAUAGUUUAUUUUCAAUUUAUUUCAAUAAUUUUUUUAAAAUAGCUUAUGAAUAAGCACUUAUGUCAUAAACACUUAAUUAAGCUGUUUUCCCAAACAGGGCCUAACUUCAACUCAAAUUCUUAGAAAAACAAAAAAAAAAAUGUUUUAGUUGCAAAACAUCAAUUAUUUUGGAAUAUAAUUAUGUAUGCAUCUAAUUCGAUUAUUUAAUUGCAUGUAGGAUCUUAUUCAUCACAGUGGAGCACAAGGCGUAAGAUCGUGAUAGGUAAACAUUGUUAUGAGUUAUAAGUAUUUAUUUAUCUUUUCUCUAUCAAUCAAAUCAUCAAUUACAUUUUUAGUUUCUCUCUCCUCAUCCACCUCUUUCAACCUUAUAAGUGAGGUGUGAAUAAAAGAUUAUUCAAACAUUAUAUAGUACAAAUUUUUGUUAUUAAUUUAUAGACUAAAUUGUUCUUUUAUACAUGUUCUUUGUAUAAAUUCAGGCGCAUUAGAAGCUGGUUUUAUGACCACAAUAUUCUUUAUAGGCUAUGGAAAAAAUUCUAGUUAAUUUCUUAAGUAAUUAGUUCUCAUUCAUAGCUAAUUAAUCAGGUGGUCCACCAAUACCAUGGUGCAUGCUAGAUAGAACCUUUUGUUCUAAAAUAUGGUGUCAUGGUUUUUUAAAAUAAUUGAUUUAAAUUAAUCUUUUAUAUAUUUUCUUUGUAUAAAUUCAGGUGUAGCGGCAUCUUGUGUGGGAGGACUAAUCACUAUUAUUAGUAUAGCUAUUUAUAUUAGGAGGAAGUUUAAGAGUUUAUCUGGAAAAACGAUGAUCUCAAGGAAAAGAAGUACAUUUGUUGAACACGAUGUGGAGGCUUUCAUGCAAAGCUAUGGUUCAUUGGCACCAAGGCGAUAUAGUUAUUCUGAAGUUAAAAGGAUCACAAACUCAUUUGUACAUAAGGUAGGACAAGGUGGAUAUGGUGUUGUGUACAAAGCAACAUUACCUGAUGGUCGUCUUGUUGCUGUAAAAGUGAUAAGCGAAUCAGAUGGGAGCGGAGAAGAUUUCAUAAAUGAAGUUUCUAGCAUCAGCAGAACUUCUCAUGUGAACAUUGUCUCACUAUUGGGAUUUUGCUAUGAUAGGAACAAAAGAGCAUUGAUCUAUGAAUUCAUGCCCAAUGGUUCAUUGGAUAAUUUCAUCAAUGGAAUGGGAUCUCCAAAUGCUAUUUCUUGUUUUGAUUGGAAUACUUUGUACGAAGUUGCAAUUGGGAUAGCUCGAGGGCUAGAGUACUUACAUCGAGGAUGCAAUACAAGGAUCUUACACCUUGAUAUUAAACCUCCAAACAUUCUCUUGGAUGAAGACCUUUGCCCAAAAAUAGCUGAUUUUGGAUUAGCUAAAAUAUGCAAAAGGAAGGAGAGCAUUGUGUCUAUGUUGGGAACACGAGGAACUCCCGGGUACAUUGCACCAGAAGUAUUUAGUCGAGCAUUUGGCGGUGUUUCUCACAAAUCUGAUGUGUAUAGCUAUGGCAUGUUGAUUCUUGAAAUGGUUGGAGGAAGGAAAAAUUAUGAUAGUGGUGGAGGGUCACAAAGCAGUGAAAUGUAUUUUCCAGAUUGGAUAUAUAAGGAUCUUGAGCAAGGUGAUGUUCACACUAAUUGUUUGGUCAUCACAGAGGAGGAACAUGAGAUGGCAAGGAAGAUGAUUUUGGUGAGUCUUUGGUGCAUCCAAACACGCUCAUCGGAGAGACCAUCAAUGAGUAAAGUGGUGGAGAUGUUAGAAGGAACACUUCAGUCAGUGCCAUAUCCUCCAAAGCCUAUCCUAUAUUCCCCUGAAAAGCUAUCAUUACAUAUUUCAGAUAUAUCUUCAGACAAUACUCUAGAGACAAAUUCAAUGUCAAUGCAAAAAGAUGGUUCCAUUGAAAUUGAAUUGAAUGAGUUAAGCAAGAAUGUACCAGGGUUAUAGUGAUGAAACUUCAACUUUGGUAUUUUUGUGUUGUUUAAUAAAUGAUUGGAGUAACGACUGGUACCUAUAUUGCAAUUGUUGUAUAGAAAGUGAAUUCUUAACAGCCCAUAAUUUAUUUGAAUUUCUGGAUGAUAAAAAUUAUGAUGGCUGCUAAAUUAAUCUGAUGUGCAUUUAGGUGGCAUCAUUUGUUGUGUUUGGCUACCAAAAAUAGAUUAAGUUGUCCUUACAGUUGUGUACAAUAAGGACUACGAUUUUUUUUAAGAAUCAUUAUUACUCAAUAAAGUAAUGCACAUUUUAGUUUUAGUUUCUUGUUAUGAAAAAAAUAAAUGAAAAUAUUGACUAAUGUUUGCUUCUUCAUAAAUGGACUAAAGGUAUAAUUAAGUUUCCCAAAUAUGAUCAGGUUAAUUAGCAACAUGGCAAACUAGAUCUCUGGUUCUCUCCAUUAAUUUAAAAACCCAAAAACAUGAAAAGAUAUCUGCAGAAAAACCUUGAGCAUUUGCUCCCGAUUUUCUUUUUUGUAGGAAUAGUUAGCUAGAACUCUGGUUCUCUUAAUUUGCAGAUUGAUUUUCUUUCUAAAUCACUCUACCUGAUAAGUACAUAGGUUUCACAAGUCUAGUACCACUUGAGCUACUUAUCCUCCAUUUUAUUUUAGCAAGACAUAUUAAUCAUAAAUUUUCUAUACUUACAGAUGUACUAGUCCAUAACUAAAAGACGAAAAUAACCACCAUGCACGUACAUUAACUCUGUGAGGUUGUUCUAGCUUAAGCAAAGAUCUUGAGUUCGAGCUCAUGUGAAUCAAACUGUUUAUUUAAUGAAGGAUAAAGAAAGAGAAAAUGAUGAAUAGAGAGGGAAACUAGUUGAGGUUUACCAUCUUAAAACUAAUAGUUAUCUCUGCACAAGUCAACUAAAGCAUCCUAGCCUUUCUUUGAAUGCAUUUUUCCAUUUUUUAUCUUAAAAGUUAAGUCCUUUGUUUGAGUCACACACUCUCUCUUUCAAACAUUUUCCAAGUGUGACAUUGUUUACAUUUUCUCUGCACUUUCCAAAUGAACUCCCUGCUGAUGCUUCUCCCUCCUAUCUCCAUUCUUCAAUUCACACUCCUUUUGAUACUUAUUCACACACCUACAUCUUCAGCCUCAAAUGAUUAUUACAGAGAUUGCAACAAUCUAUUUAGUUGUGGUGAUAUAAGAAACAUUGGUUUUCCUUUCUGGGGAAAAAAUCGCCCAAAUGGGUGUGGCCACCCUCUUUUGCAUCUCACAUGUGAAGGAAACACCAGCUACAUGAACAUCAAUGAUGUCAGGUAC
rnacentral:lncRNA from 1 species